rnacentral:misc_RNA from 1 species
ACGUUUAGAGAACGAAAUAGGCGUACAGAUGAUAAAAGGGAACUUGUGCGAAAUCAUUAAAAAUAAAGCAAGUAGAGAACUGUUCCUACAGUAUUGCAAGAAAAUAGUUAAAGCAGUUAAUAUUAGAAAUAAGAAUUAGUAAAAUUAUGUUUUCUGGAUAUAAUUGUAUAUUAAAAAAAAAAAAAAAAAAAAAAAAAAAAAAAAAAAAAAAAAAAAAAAAAAAAAAAAAAAAAAAAAAAAAAAAAAACCUAACC